GACGAAGGUGGCGAGCGUUGUUCGGAAUCACUGGGCAUAAAGCGCACGUAGGCGGUGCCGUAAGUCAGAUGUGAAAUCCCUCGGCCUAACCGAGGAACUGCGUCUGAUACUGCGGUGCUUGAGGAUCAGAGGGGUGCAUGGAAUUUCCGGUGGAGCGGUGAAAUGCGUUGAUAUCGGAAGGAACUCCGGCGGCGAAAGCGAUGCACUGGCUGAUUUCUGACGCUGAGGUGCGAAAGCGUGGGGAGCAAACAGG
rnacentral:rRNA from 1 species